rnacentral:rRNA from 1 species
AAAUAGAUACCCAGGUAGUCCACGCCGUAAACGAUGGAGUAGCUAAGUGUUAGAGGGUUUCCGCCCUUUAGUGCUGCAGCUAACGCAUUAAGCACUCCGCCUGGGGAGUACGGUCGCAAGACUGAAACUCAAAGGAAUUGGCGGGGGCCCGCACAAGCGGUGGAGCAUGUGGUUUAAUUCGAAGCAACGCGAAGAACCUUACCAGGUCUUGACAUCCUCUGACAACUCUAGAGAUAGAGCGUUCCCCUUCGGGGGACAGAGUGACAGGUGGUGCAUGGUUGUCGUCAGCUCGUGUCGUGAGAUGUUGGGUUAAGUCCCGCAACGAGCGCAACCCUUGAUCUUAGUUGCCAGCAUUUAGUUGGGCACUCUAAGGUGACUGCCGGUGACAAACCGGAGGAAGGUGGGGAUGACGUCAAAUCAUCAUGCCCCUUAUGACCUGGGCUACACACGUGCUACAAUGGAUGGUACAAAGGGCUGCAAGACCGCGAGGUCAAGCCAAUCCCAUAAAACCAUUCUCAGUUCGGAUUGU